AGUUUGAUCUUAAGAGUUUAGCCACUCCCCUUGGCAUAUCUGCGGGCGUGCUGGCAGGACUGCUGUGCUGUUGCUGGUGCUGUUGCAAGUGCUGUAGUGAUGACGACGGUGACAAGACUGAGUCCGCCGCUGCUUCUCCAGACACCGAGCAACUCGCCCACGUCCAUGUAAGCGUAUCUACGUUGGCCAACUUUUGGGGUAGAUUCAGAAGGGGAAAGUCUUAGGGUUAGGGUCCUCUGCAACAUCUGUCGGCCAAGGAUAGAUGUGGGAUCGGUAUUAAAACCGGAAGUGACAAUGUAAUUCCGACAAGUGAUCACACCCGUUGUGUAAAAUAUGCGAAUGUCACUGGAUAGCUAACAAGCUAGCUAAACCUAGAGUUUGGGGUGAUGUGCUCUGAGUGCAAAAACAAGAUGCAGACUAUCAAAUUAAUUUUUACACAUGUAAAUAAUUAUAAAGACUUCUUAUCAGUGCUAUUGAGUACACCACAUACCGCAGCAAAUUACAAAUGCAUACAUUAAACAAAAAUGAAGUACUCACUCCCGGUUUUAAUACCCAUCCCAUGGAAAUACGGAUCCUUGGCCGACAGCCUGAACGAAGUUCAGUUCUUUUGAGUUAAUGUAGGGCCUUUGUGUUUUGACAGCAUCAGAAAAUGUUGUGGCAUUUAUUCCUCUGCAGCAUCCUCAUAGCUCACUGUCACUCCACAACAGAAGGGUAGGGUCAUACUUAGAGUAGAGUUGAUUCACAGUUACAAGUAGGACCAAGGUUGAGGAUUCAAAUGACUGAAUUAAUUAAUGAAUGAGUGAACUAAAUUGCCAUUAGGGAAUUUGUCCUCUACACAGCACAAUCCAUUAAGGCUUUACAGGUUAAACAAUAUGCAACACAAUACAGAAAAGACAGCUAUGUUCCUGUUUUUUUCUUACCAAGUUUCCAUUUUGUAACAGGAUCCCAGUGAGAUGUCUGGACCCGGCGACCCCUUGCAACCUCCAUCAUCUGCUCCCUCUUCAGGUGACACCAAUGAACUAACGGCCUCCAUGGCGUACCCCCCCAACCCCUGGGAGAACAGUCCACCUCCUUACUUUCCUGACCCAGCGUCAAGGCCACACAGCAUAGUGGUCCCCGUGGAGCCCAGCGUCCCUGAGUGGGUUCCAAGCGUCCCUGAGUGUGUUCCCAGCGUCCCUGAGUGGGUUCCCAGCGUCCCUGAGUGUGUUCCCAGUCCGUACAGUUCAGCAGCUCCCACUGCUCCUCCUGAGGCUCCUGAUGGAGGAGGAGGAGGUGAUCGUGGUGCUCCCACCGCCCCUUCUGCACCCCCCGACCCUGGUCUGCGGUACCAGUCGAGAGCCUGGGGUAGUGGCCAGGAUGACUUUCUCUCCAGCUCUCCUCUCUGCAUGGACAGCGCCACCGACAGCUGCACCUUCACCUCAAACAAUCUCAACUUCUAGACCGAUGCGUUCCGUUGACAACUCGGGAUCGAUGGAGCAUUUUCACACGCAGUGCGCUGUGACUUGUGUUGCGUCCUACUGACUGGUACGCUGUGAUUUAGACACGUAGUUUCACGCUCAAAGGCAACGCGCACUACUUCAUUUGCACUGGGCCUGUUCUGCUGCAGUGCUGGAGUGGAUCUGUCAAUACCACAGACUCUCACGCCAUCCAAAGGGCCACCAUCUUUCUUUGACCUGUUACUCUGUGUCUAAUGUCUGUGAGUCUGUUCGUGUCUGCUAGUGUCUUAUGUCCCUAUCUCAUGUAAGUAGGCCAUUUCAUGUAUCCUUUUCUUAGCUUGCUAGAAUUGGUAGCAAUGCAAGUCUGUGUUAUUUUACAUAUUUAUCACACAGGAUUGUAAUGUUCUUACUGCCUGAUCAGGUCCAAUCUCAUUCACAAGCCUUGGUGUUUUUUUGUGUCUUUUUAUGUAUGCGAUUUUAUCUCACUUUGUUGUAACUUUAUAAUGGUGGAUAAUGAAAAGACAUUUUCAGUCCCAAACGUGCUCUAAAUGCCUAUGUAAGGCCUUCAGUAUCCAAAAGUGGCCUUAUCCUAUCUCAGUGCAAUUAAUCAUGUUGUUGUUUAUUUCUGUUUACACUGUAACACCCUGAAACCAUUACUAUGUUUACAAAUGACUAUUUAACACUUUAACACAAAGUAACAGUCUGGGGCGGUCAACUCAUUUUGAAUGAUAUUAUACUGUCUAGGUUUGGUGUACACCCUGAUUAAAAAGAUGACCCCCCCCCCACCACCAUCACCAAAUGUCAUGUCAUUACAUAAUUCACUCUGCAUGAAAUCUUUCCACAUGUAUUUAGAUGUAAGCCAUUAUGUGAAAGUGCCACAAAUUACAGCCAUGUUUAGAUAUUGGUAGGUUUCACGUACAAGCCAUAUAAAUGGAUCCCCUCAUGUAGUCUCAGAUAACAUUAGACUUAAUUGUUGGCUUUUGUCUACAGCCACAACAAGAUGUUUGGAGCCAGGCAUAUUAGCAUUUUGAUUGCCAUGGUCAAGCUAGACCCCCACCUGCCUGGCAUUCACACACCCCUAUACCCCUUUCCUUACAUGCCCCUACCUCACACCUUGAACUAGGACAUACCCACCCCCUCUCCUUAUUCUUUACACCUAACACAGAACUUCCUCCCCAGACCUGAAGGUAAUCGUUUAUGCCAUUUUUUAGUAUGUUAAUUAUGUAGUCCUAUAAGGGAUACAUUUUUUUUUUUAACAAACAAACAAACAAGGCUGACUCACGUCAGUUUUUUUAUUGCACAAGCGACACACACGUGGUUAUGGAGAAGACACAGGACACACACACACACGCAGGCCUCAGGUCACUGUGAAUGUAAUCUCUGCCUUUAACCCAUCCCGGACUGUCCUUCCUCCAGGACCCCAGGAGCAGUGGGCAGCUUUUCAGCGCCCGGGGACCAAGUGAACCGUCUGUCUUGGUCAGGACGGACAGGAGAGUGUUCUGUUCUUUUUGCAUGUUUUUCUGUUGGGGUUCUUAGUGGAGGAAACCCCUUGUGAACACGUGGAGAACAUGCAAACUCCACACAUAAUUAUGUUACCAUUCAUAAGAGGGCGGCAAAGACAGUGGAAGAUAACCGCUAACUUGUAACUUGUUGCUGUGAGUUAGAAAUUCCGAGGCUAAAACUUUGUUGGAAUAAACAGAUUCUUUCUAAGCCGCCUUCCCGAGUU
ensembl:lncRNA